rnacentral:misc_RNA from 1 species
UUUCCGUAGGUGAACCUGCGGAAGGAUCAUUAAUGAGUUGUCAUGGGGUUCGAUGCUGGCAGCCAAUUUUUGGAUGCAUGUGCUUGCCCUAACAAUCAUCUUCCAAACACCUGUGCACAUUUUUGAGGGAGUCUUGAGUUGGUUGCCGCUCUUGGGUGAUUUUCUCACAUUCCCUUAAAUCAUUAUACGCUAUUAACAAUGUUGAACGUGCUCUGUGCCACAAGGCUAUUAAUAUAAUACAACUUUUAACAACGGAUCUCUUGGCUCUC